rnacentral:rRNA from 1 species
CNACAUUAGAGUUUGAUCAUGGCUCAGAAUGAACGCUGGCGGCGUGCUUAACACAUGCAAGUCGAGCGAGGCCUGGGGGGCAACUCCCAGAGUCGAGCGGCGGACGGGUGAGUAACACGUGGGUAACCUGCCCGGAAGUGGGGAAUACCUCGGGGAAACUCGAGCUAAUACCGCAUGACAUCUCGGGACGAAAGUUCUGACGAUCAAAGCGGUGGUCGCAANAUCUCGACGCUACCGAGAUAGGAGCCCGCGCCCGAUUAGCUAGUUCGGUGAGGUAACGGCUCACCAAAUGCUUCGAUCGGUAAACCAGGCCUGAGAGCGGCGAUC